AUUCAAAAAAGCAAUGGCUGAGCUGAGUGGCAGCACAAGUUCUGCAUGGGUUUCAGGGAGAACGGACAGAAGCUGGAGGUUGGCAGUGAGGCAGAAGCAUGGGAAUGCAUUCCUGGCUUUCCUGUUUCUACUCCAGUACUGAUAUUACACAGGAGUAGAUGAUAGGGGAGAAGAUACUGCAGGACAGGCAUUGGAGUCUGUGUAAGAACUGCUGAGCCCGCCAGGCAUAUUGAUGGGAAAAUCUGGUGGCUGACGAAUAGCUGUCUGAACUCAGAAGAAUCUGGCUGGAGACCGACUGGAAUGGAGCACUGGCCCAGAGAGAAGCUCUACUCCAGGGGUCUACUCCAGAUGGAACCCUACAGAAACCAGCGACACCUGACUGGGAGAGAGAACCCAUUUUGGCCAUUGAGGGACCGAGAUCAGUGCUGGAAGCUGGGAAGGCAAUCCAAGUUUCCCAAGAGGGUGGCAGGUUCCUAAGCGCUUGAGCCAUCAUCACUGCCUUCCAGCACCUGAGCGGGAAGCUGGAGUCAGGAGCCAGAGGCUGGAACUGAACUCAAAUACUCCAGCAUGGGGUGUGGGCCUCUUUACUGCCAGCUGUUCAAACUGCGUGCCAGAACGAGACUCCCUCUCCUGUCCUGUAAACCAGAGCUCAUAAACACACCUUAGGUUCUGAACAAAGUACUCUCCAGGGAUGGCUUCGCAGCUCAGCAACCCGUCUCACACCCGUGUUUCUCCACUCAGCGCAUCAAGGCCAGGUGGUGGGUGUGUCCUACAAAGCGCUGCAGGUACAGCUAGUCUUCAGCUAAUUUUUGCCUCAAGGCACCAAAGAUGGAGAAAGUGGAAAGGAAAAGGGGCUGACAUUUAGUGCACAGCUCAAGACCACGGCAUCUAGCAUUGGAAAGUUUCCGGCUGCUAAGCGCACUCCUAAGAGACCGUGGCUGUGACUCAAGUCCUUGGGUUCCCGCCACCCACGAGGGAGACCUCAAUUGUGAAUUUCUGGCACCUGGUUUCUGCCUUUACAAUGAACUGGGCAGUGAACCAGCAAGUGUGAGCAUGCUUUGUCUCUCAAAUACAUAAGUACUUAAAAAAAAAAAGAGUGGAAAGAACUAUUUCUGGACUAAGCUUACAUUGGUUGCACAGACGAGGUUAAAAUAAUAAGAGGAAUGCAGGCGGAAAGGAUUUGUGAAGCGCUUGGUUAUUCGCAUCCCUCGUGGUAGGAAAACACCAGCGCGCCGCGUCCAGAACAAGUGGGGGAAUUACUCACACACUUAGGUUGGAAACUAAGCAUGUGGGACUGGAUCCCCCAGGCACGGCGGUCCAGGGCAAACGCAGCACCUGUCAGAGCCCAGCUGGGCUCACUGUCUCCAAGACACUGCAUCCCCACUCCAUGCCACUCGCGGUGGUGACUUUAUAGGAUACUUUACCGACGGAGUGGACACCAAUUUGGGGACACCAAAUCACAGGCAGGAAAAAAUAAUGGAGAGAUCUCUUUUCCACCAGUUGGGGAUGGCUCGGAGCCCGGACGCGCGCUCAAACGGAAGAUU